GACGAACGCUGGCGGCGUGCUUAACACAUGCAAGUCGAACGGAAAGGCCUUUUCGGAGGUACUCGAGUGGCGAACGGGUGAGUAACACGUGGGUGAUCUGCCCUGCACUCUGGGAUAAGCCUGGGAAACUGGGUCUAAUACCGGAUAGGACCGCACUUUAGUGUGUGUGGUGGAAAGUUUUUUCGGUGUAGGAUGAGCCCGCGGCCUAUCAGCUUGUUGGUGGGGUAAUGGCCUACCAAGGCGGCGACGGGUAGCCGGACUGAGAGGUUGGUCGGCCACAUUGGGACUGAGAGACGGCCCAGACUCCUACGGGAGGCAGCAGUGGGGAAGAUUGCACAAUGGGCGCAAGCCUGAUGCAGCGACGCCGCGUGGGGGAUGACGGCCUUCGGGUUGUAAACUCCUUUCGCCAGGGACGAAGCGUUUUGUGACGGUACCUGGAGAAGAAGCACCGGCUAACUACGUG
rnacentral:rRNA from 1 species